UUUUUUUUUUUUUUUUUUUUUUAGGGUUCUCAAAUGUGCCACAUUCUCUGCUGCUUCAGAGUUCUACAGUAUCCCUCCUCUUUAUGGCCAAACAGAUAUUUUGACUUCUCUCCACUUUUUUCUCCUUCCUCCCCAUCUCCUCCCUCAUUAAUCCCUAUUUAUCAUAGAUAUCUGCUUAAAAUAAUUUAUCAGAAAAGCUUUGAUCAUAUCUCAUUGCAUUUACACAAGAUUAAGCCUCCAUAUAAUUCAUCACAUUGUAACUUUGUGCUCAGUGUCUAGUACCCAUGGAUUUGGUGGGGGGAUAUAUUUGUUUCCUUCACCCCUAUCUCCCCAGUAACUCCUUAGUGCCUAACAUACAGUGGUUCCCAUUAAAUAUUUGUUGAAUCAGUGAAUAACUAUGGCAUGUUUUUUUCUCAACUGUGUACCUCUAUUUUGUUUGGUUCCUCUGCUUUGAAUUACUUUCUCUUGCUUUUUGGUUAGUUUACUUGAUCUUUAAGUACCAGUUCAGGGUUCUCUCCUCCUAGAUGUCUUUCAUAACUUCCUUUCUCCACCACCCUCUCUCCUAUCUUGGUUUAUUCUUCUUUUCUAUGAUCCCAGAGAACACUGUACAAACAGCUCUCUCAAGCCCUGGCUCCAUGUGAAGUCAACACUUGCAGAACUCUGGCACUUCAUGAACAGGGUUCGCAUUUAUUUUUUCUCCAUUAAAAAAUGCAUCAUACCUGAACAUAAUACAGAUACUCCAAAAUACUGUUGAAAGUUUUUUAAAAGAGAGAGAUUUAGAUUGGAAUAGAGAUUCCUCCACUCAAUAUUAAAGCUUGUGAUAAUCAUCCUUAGAAUAGAACUAAGGAUGUGAUGAAUAAUGCACAUUUAUAGUGAGGCUGUUGUGAUCUUUCUGAUAAACACUCUGUGGAAAUAGCUGACUUUUUCUUCUUUCCCAAUAUUAUUUGCCCAUUUGAGCUACCUUGGGAUAUUUAUCACUAUAGGUUUUCUAAUAACUAAUGUAUCCCUGAAGAGCUAUAUAUGUGAAAAUAAUCUUUGAGAAUAAGUAGUUGCCAGUCCUGGUCACCUAUUAAAUGGUCUACUAAAUGUAACAAUCUCACCCUGUGCCUAACACUUUUCCAUCUGCUUUGAGGAUGCCAGUACAUGCCAGGUUCAUUACCCAGGAUAGGAGACUGUUUUCUGACUUGGUAAGCUUAUCCUACCUGCAACCAACUUUGUAGAUUUCAUGUUGAUGAGAAGACUCCAAGGUACAAUUUAGUGGUAGUCACUUUAAGAAAGGCAAAAAAUGAGGUGAAGACAUGAACUCUCAGCAGUAAAGCAAUUACUGACAAUUUCUGAUCAAGGUACAAUCACUGUAAAAGAUUUAUUUUUUGCUGUCUCCAGGAACAUAUACUUCUAAGGUGAUGUACGCCAAAUGGAAUGCUACAAUGAGAGGGUCAGGGAAAGAUCUCACUUAGCAAGAAUGUGUGAUUAAUUUAUCUCCUAAAUUGAUGAGAUUGUGCAGUCAAGGCAGUUCUCAAAGAGUAACAGGGUGAUUACAAGUGAAUGAGUAAACAAUGGAAUAACUGUGGGUGGAAUUUAAUCUCUUCAUAUGUUCUUCUAAAAAUUCCGUUUUUUCAAGGAACUCCAUGGACACAAAAAAAGGUGAAUACUAUUGUCAUAAGGACUACCACAAGGAAGGGUGAGCAGAGUGGGAUGAUCUGGUCUGGUCUGAAACACUGACAUUUCCAUUCACUGGAUUAUAUAUGCCUUAAAUUUCUAAUGUGUAGGUAGUCUUUCGGAUGCUAUGGGAUAUGAGGUCAGAAAUUUGAUUUCCUUAUUUAUGAAAUUAUAAAAUAUUUAAUAGGAUUAAAAUGUCAAUGCAUAUUUGAAGACUUUAAAAUAAUAGCUCCUGUGCAUUGAACACAUAUUGUAUAUCUAGUACUUUAUAUAAUUUUAUUUAUAUAAAGAUAUAUAUAAUGGUAUUAAGAUAUGAUUAUUGGCUAUUUUAAAGAGUCAGAACAAGAAGGCUCAGAAAGUCCAAAUAACUUGUUCAAAGUCAUAUAUAGUCAGUCCUAAGGUUGGAAUUUGAAUGUGAGUGAACUACAAAGUUUGUUUUUCUAAGAAAAUUCCAGACUCUGCUAUAAAUAGGGGCCUACGAGUCUAUUAUAAGUACACAUUGGAACUACAUGGGACUCAACUUGCAUUAAAACAUGCCAGCCAACACAGUGGAAACAGGUAUACCAGAAGGCUGAUCCUGUAUUAUAAGCCAUAUGAGCUGAGCUUGGUGGCUUUGAUGCAGGAGAGAGUGCAGCAAUUCAGUAUAUUAAUCAAAAUAGUAUCCUUCCGAAAGUAGGGAUGAAUGAAUGUUCUUUAUGGUCUGCAUUAUACUUUGAAGGCAAAGCUGGGUAUGUGGCCCUAACAGGAUUCACGAGAAGCAUUAUACUUGUGAUUAACCACUAGGUGGCACUGGAUCUAUAGAGCCUGGGAAAAGCUCCAUUGGAUACAUUGAUAGCCAUCUUUUCUGGGUAUAAGUGACCAUCACUUUUCUUGUACAUACCCCAUAAUAUAAAGUUAUCUCACAUUUGAUUCUGAAUCAUUCUUAAUAUCAGAUAAUAUUUACAUCUGCUCCAAGGCUCUAUCACCCCUUCCUCCUAUUGGUUGCUUGAGUGACAUUUUUGAACUGGAUAUGCCAGAGCUUGGGUAGAUUGUGAAAGAAAAUGUAGGCAUACUGAUGUGGCCCAUAUGUACUCUUCAGAUAAUGCAGUAUCUCUAUAUCUAGUCACUGAGUCUCUCUGAGGAAUAAAGUACACUUGUAGUAACCAAUUCAUUGGUAGGACCUUAUAAAUAAGAAAUUGACUAUCAUACAGAAUAUGACUAAACCUCAGAAUAAAACCCUGUUUUUUUAUUGAUCACAUAAAUUCUUUUAUUAAUAUUGCAUCCUAGAUGAAACAAUGUUUCCAAGCCAGUUUAGUUUUAGAGAAACAGAGGGAGCAUGUCUAUGAAGCAAAAUUUCUUUUCCUUCCUACGUAUAUUACAUAAAAAGCUUGAAAAAAAGGGAAUGUUUAUCAACAUGGAAACACCUCAAAUUGGAUAUCAGAGAAAAGUUUUUACUUUUUUUUUCCUUUUCAGGGCCACACCUGUGGCAUAUAGAAGUUCCCAGCUAGGGCUAGGGGUCGAAUCAGAGCUAUAGCUGCCAGCCUACACCAGAGUCACAGACAACAACAUCAAAUCCGACUAAAGUCUGGGACCUACAUAGCAGCUCAUGACAAUGCCAAAUCCUUAACCCACUGAGCCAGGGAUCAAACCCGCAACCUAAUGGAUACAAGUUGGGCUCAUAACCCUCUAAAUCAUAAUGGAAACUCCCGAGCUUUACUUUUCAUGGCAAGUACUGUUCGUGUACUGAAACUUAAAACUCUUAAGAUAUAAAUAAAGUGACAGAAAUUAAAUUUACAAGGCAGAAAUUAAAGACAGAUUAUGGGUGAAUAUAACCCUUGCUAUUAUGAAAGACCAGACUGUAUUCAGUACUCUUGCAAAACAAAAUAGGAAUAUAGUUGGAAAUAUAUUUAAAUAAUGAAACAUUUAAUAAAGACUUACCCUUUUCCCUAAUAAACAUUGUAGUGAUGUAGGUGGUAAGACUGGUGAAUUCAUCAUCUCAUUGUAAAGAUUAGGUACCAUAGAAACCAAAAGUUAAUCAUGAAUCUAAAUCAUGUUAAUCAAGAAUCAUGAAUCUUUCAAGACUUGUUCAUGGCAAAUACAUAGAAUUCUACAGUACAUCAAAUUUCUGGCCCACUGCACCACAGCAGGAACUCCAAGGCUUUAACUUUAAUACAUUAAAAUAUCUAAAUUCAAUGUUUCUAUCUUUCCUUCAUUAUUAUCACAUCCUUAGUAAGUCCUUAUUCAUUUCAUAAUAACUUAAAUGAUGAUGAACUGUACCAAUGGUUUCUCAGACAAUUCUUUCUAGUUAGAAGAUCUUGUUGAAAAGUAUGGCAAUCAUUUUACCAACAUACGAAUACAUAGUACUAACUGAGAACUCACUCUGUGCCUUAUCUCAUUUAAUUCUCUCAACAAUGCUAUGAAGUAGGGGAUAUUAUUAGCUGCAGGUUACAGGUAAUAAAAAUGAGCACUGCAAAAUUAAGAAUUUGACUCAGAACCAAAUAUGAGGCUGGUCUGAAAGCUUGCAUUUUUUUUUUUCAGAUUUAACUAUAGAAUGUUGUUACUGGCAAUUUUUAUCCCAAUUUAUUUAAUUGUGUGCCAUCUUUUAUCUUUGGGAGAUUUUAAAAUCUACUCUUUUUUUUAAAUUCUAAAACCUCAAGAUGAUGUGGUUUGAAAGAUGUCUUUCAUUCAUUGGUCUGGGCAAACAACCCUUUAAAUUUGAAAAUGUCCCUCCUUCAAUUAUGGAAUCGCUUAUUUGAUUAUAUCAUUUAAAAUAGCUUUAUCUCCAGUUCUUCCCAUUCUCUCUUUAUAGAACUCCUAAUAUGAGGCUGCUGGAAUUUAAACAAUUUAAAAAUUGAAAAUUAAAAAAAAAUUUAAUUUUUAAAAAUCUUUUCCUUCCUAUCAUCCUUUUCCUUCUAUUUUUGUUCUUAUGAGGAUAAUUGUUUUGAAAAUCUUCUGAUACCUUCUUCUGUUGAUUUUUUAAAAUCUUUGGCUAUCAUAUUUUUAUCCAUGAGGGCUUUUUAAAUUUAUCACAUCCUAUUUUCAUUUCACAGAUGUGCUACUCAUUCUUAUCAAAGAAAGCAUAUUACUCAAAGUUUUUAUAAAAUUUGCUUUUGGCUACCUUGAGUAAUGUUCUUGCUCCAAGCCAUUUUUUUCCUGUUAACUUAGGCUUUGGUCUUGAUUUUAGAGGCUUUUUGAAAUAUCCUGAGAACUUGCCUUUAAAUUCCCACUUGAGUGAGGCACUAACACAGGAGAUGCAGGUGCAUGACAUAACUCUUCAGUGAGUGGACUGACAGCACUGUAAAGUGAUCUAGCAGAGAGACCUCCUUCCUGAGGUGAUCCCAGAUAUCAGCCAUCUCAACAGUGAGACAUGUCUUUUGCUUGAGCAGCCUUUCCAGAAAAUAAUACUUUGUUUUCUUGCUUUGGUGACUGAAAGGGCAUAUCUUUGAUGGCCUUUGUUCUUAGAUCAGGGUUGAGGAAUGACCUUGAAAGUCUCAUGAUUUCUCUUAAUCCCUACACUUUCAAGAACCCUUACCAAUAUAUCCCAAGCACCUGGAGUUUAAUAUUUGCAGAUAAUAGACAUCCUUAUCUGCUGGGGUUGGGCAAGGAGAGUCACCUGGUGAAUUGCUUGAUAAGGAAGAGAUCCAAGGUUUCAUCUUCAUUGUAGACAAUCACACCCCACUUAGAUCCAGUCUUGGAUCUUAGACUGGUCUUAGAUCCCACUUAAAUCCAAGACUCAGCCCAUCUCACGUGCAUCUCAUGUAUCCAAAGUUUAGGCUGUUCUGAGACCCUCUGGGGUAAAUCAAGUUCUUGUCAUUAUUCCUCUCUUCAGGCACUUAAGAUUUUAGCUUUCUCUGUUGUACAAGUUGGCGAAUAAAAAGUUAUUAAAAUAGGAACUACUACAUGUGUUGUUUCAUUUUUUCUGAAUAGGUGCAUAAAAAGGUCAAAGUUGUGAUUUAAAAAAAAUUAUGUUCUGAACCAUAGAACAUAAUUGCCCCCAAACUUCAUAGAGAUUUCUACUUAUUGUUGUAUGUGUUAGUUGCUAUGGCAACCCUACCCACUCUAUCUUCCAUCCUUUGACCAGAUAAACAUUUUUAAAAAGGAAAAUUUAAGUUUUAUACUUUCGAAGAAUUAACAUUUAAGUACUUGUAUGGUUGAAUAAGAAGAGAAAAUCUGCAAAAUGAAAACUGAUAUAAGAAAGACAUCAUGGAGUUCCCAUCGUGGCUCAGUGGUAAUGAACCCAACUAGUAUCCAUGAGGACAUGGGUGCAAUCCAUGGCAUUGCUGAGUGGGUUAAGGAUCUGGCAUUGCCAUGAGCUGUGGUAUAGGUUGCAGGUGUAGCUCGGGUGUGGCAUUGCUGUGGCUAAGGUGUAGGCUGGCAGCUCCAAUUCAACCCCUAGCCUGAGUACUUCCAUAUGCCACAGGGGCAGCC
rnacentral:lncRNA from 1 species